rnacentral:lncRNA from 1 species
UAAAUAUGCUAUUUAAAAAUACUAAUUAAAUUGAAAUGAAACAAUAAUUAAAUAUACAGAUUAAUUUAAAACGAGGGUAAAAGGAUUACCAAAAGCCAAAAGUUAUGGGCUUGAUCCAACGGGCUACGCAAUUCGGGCCUUUUUGUUUUUUGUUUUUACUUCUUUUUUUUCUUUUUCUUUUUCUUCCCCUUUUUUCUGGACUGGGCUGGGCUGUUUGUACUGGGCCUGGGGGCUGCACUGCUGGACUGGGUUGGCCUGCUAGGCGCUGUUGGGCCUGGCUCCUGGGUUGGCCUGCUUGAUCUGCUGCUGGGCUGCACUUGGGCUGGGCAGUUGGCCUGCUUGUUUUUUCUGCUUUUUUCUUCUUUUUUUUUGGGGGUUUGAGGCUACUGGUGGGCUACUACUGCUGCUGCUGGGUGCUGUUGUUUGGGUCGGAUCCGGGUCGGGUCGGGUCGACCCAAUUACUCCUUUUAUUUUAUUAUUUUAUUUCUUUUUUCUUUCACUUUUUCCUUUUCUUCUCUUUUUUCUUCUUUUUCUUCUCCAAGCCGAACCCCAGCCUCCUUGCUCUUCCUCACCGUCGCCACUUCCUCCACACGGUGCGAUGGUCGCCGGCGUCUCCUCUUCUCUCCUUCUUUCUUCUUCUCUUCUUUUCUCUUUUCCUUUUCUUUUUGGUUGCUAUUUUUCUGUGCUUGCUGUUUUUAUAUUUUGCUUGUUGCUUUCCUUAUUUGUGUAGAUGCGACGGUGGUGGAGGUGUCACGGUGAAGGUGCGACGACGGUGGUUGCGAGAGGAGGCUUUUGGCUGCUGUUUCUUGACUGUUUUUGCUGCUAUUUUUUUAAUUUUUUUCUUUUCUUUGCUGCCAAAACUGAACCCCCCUCUCUUCCUCUCAUCUUCUUCUUUUAAAUCCUUCAAUUUUGUCUUCUUUCCUUUGUUUUCAGGCGGUAGGAGAGCAUCNNNNN